AUAUGAUCUUCCCAAGUCGAAGGAAAUAUCGCCGUGGAUCCGACGGACGAUGUCUACAGGCAUUAGCCUACAGCAGUUAUGUGAUUCCGACUCGAAUAAGAAUGGCAAAGUGAGAACGUGUUUCUCAACAAAGACAGACAAUUACGGUUUAUUGAAAACCUUGUAUCUUUAUUAGAGAGAAAGUGUUACAUAAGUACAAUGUUUUUUCAAGGACAAAUACCUUUCUUUAGUUGAAAAUACAUAGUCGCAGCUGCGCCGUUUUCUCAAUGAUGCUUAGACGAAAUGUGGGAUAAGAGUCUUUAGUCCUUAUUUCUUAGAUAUGUCUGUAUAAAUCGGAGACCUAGGAACAGCAACGGCAGAGACACAGCAAUAGACAUGGCCACAGAAGAACAGCCGAAGAACAACCCCGAUACGGCAACAGAUACAUUUAUAAAUACAGUACUUCUCUUUUUCUUUCAGAAAAAUCAUCUCAUGAUUACAUUCCUUUACGUUGUUUUUCUUUUCCCACCACUUGCGUGUCCUUUGGUUCAUCAGUUGGCCAUUAUUAUUCGAUGUUUGUUUAUUCUUACUUCGACAUCAUAUGACAGAAUAUUCCGGGUUAUGUCAUUCUGGAUUGAAUUACGAUGAAGUGUAUAAUUACUAUUUAUAAUAAAUUUUUGAUAAGUGCGAACUUUGUUGCUUGGUCACAUUUCUUUCCGUCUAAUAACAUAUCAUCUGAUGGAAGAGCGAAAAAUAAUCUAUUAAGGUAGAUUUUCUCUCUUCCCUCUUCUUUCAAUAUUCAAUUAAUUAUUAUUUAAAAUAUUAUGUAAAUUGUUGCAGUUAACUUUUGGGAAUGAGACUGGGGAGGGCGUUGGUUGCCGGGAUGCAUAUCUGUAUCAAUUGGUUGACUGCUUUAUAUAGUUUUGGGAAUUUCUGUUUUGCUGGUUUGGAGCUUGUUACGGGUGUUGUGAUGUGAACGGUGUAAUAAAG
rnacentral:lncRNA from 1 species